UAGUGGCAGACGGGUGAGUAAUGUAUAGGAAUCUACCUARUAGUACGGAAUAAUUGUUGGAAACGGCAACUAAUACCGUAUACGCCCUACGGGGGAAAAAUUUAUUGCUAUUAGAUGAGCCUAUAUUAGAUUAGCUAGUUGGUGGAGUAAUAGCCUACCAAGGCAAUGAUCUAUAGCUGAUCUGAGAGGAUGAUCAGCCACACUGGAACUGAGAUACGGUCCAGACUCCUACGGGAGGCAGCAGUGGGGAAUAUUGGACAAUGGGCGAAAGCCUGAUCCAGCCAUGCCGCAUGAGUGAAGAAGGCCUUUGGGUUGUAAAGCUCUUUUAGUGAGGAAGAUAAUGACGGUACUCACAGAAGAAGUCCUGGCUAACUCCGUGCCAGCAGCCGCGGUAAUACGGAGAGGGCUAGCGUUAUUCGGAAUYAUUGGGCGUAAAGGGCGCGUAGGCGGAUUAGUAAGUUAAAAGUGAAAUCCCAAGGCUCAACCUUGGAAUUGCUUUYAAAACUGCUARUCUAGAGAUUGAAAGAGGAUAGAGGAAUUCCUAGUGUAGAGGUGAAAUUCGUAAAUAUUAGGAGGAACACCAGUGGCGAAGGCGUCUAUCUGGUUCAAAUCUGACGCUGAKGCGCGAAGGCGUGGGGAGCAAACAGGAUUAGAUACCCUGGUAGUCCACGCUGUAAACGAUGAAUGUUAAAUAUGGGAAGUUUUACUUUCUGUAUUACAGCUAACGCGUUAAACAUUCCGCCUGGGGACUACGGUCGCAAGAUUAAAACUCAAAGGAAUUGACGGGGACCCGCACAAGCGGUGGAGCAUGUGGUUUAAUUCGAUGCAACGCGAAAAACCUUACCANUCCUUG
rnacentral:rRNA from 1 species